GAUGAACGCUGGCGGCGUGCCUAAUACAUGCCAGUCGAGCGAACGGACGAGAAGCUUGCUUCUCUGAUGUUAGCGGCGGACGGGUGAGUAACACGUGGAUAACCUACCUAUAAGACUGGGAUAACUUCGGGAAACCGGAGCUAAUACCGGAUAAUAUUUUGAACCGCAUGGUUCAAAAGUGAAAGACGGUCUUGCUGUCACUUAUAGAUGGAUCCGCGCUGCAUUAGCUAGUUGGUAAGGUAACGGCUUACCGAGGCAACGAUGCAUAGCCGACCUGAGAGGGUGAUCGGCCACACUGGAACUGAGACACGGUCCAGACUCCUACGGGAGGCAGCAGUAGGGAAUCUUCCGCAAUGGGCGAAAGCCUGACGGAGCAACGCCGCGUGAGUGAUGAAGGUCUUCGGAUCGUAAAACUCUGUUAUUAGGGAAGAACAUAUGUGUAAGUAACUGUGCACAUCUUGACGGUACCUAAUCAGAAAGCCACGGCUAACUACGUG
rnacentral:rRNA from 1 species